ACGGAAAUCCCGCCUCUGUUUUGUGACUGGCAGUUUUAUGCUAGGUCAGAGAUGGAGUAAAUUGUUCAGGAUCAACAAAGUUUUGACGGGGAUAUCAUCAGCUCAAAGGAUGGACAAGCAGUCGUUUUUUUAUUGAGCAUAGACGUGCAUGGAUCUAUGGUCUCCAACAUUGUUGAGCUCACACACAUGAUAGCUGCAUGCUUGGUGCUGGAAGGCUGUAAAGUGUGCCAGGAUGCCGGAGAUAGUACAGAAUCAAACAAAUAACCCAAAACCGUCACGGUACUGAUCAGUUCCUGCUUAAAGCGUAUAUUGAAUGUCAUGGCAGUUCUGAUUGAACCCAGUGAAUUAUUCCUUUAUAAAAUGUACAGUUUUUUUUUUUUUUUAUGGCUG
rnacentral:lncRNA from 1 species